UAAGAGGACGAACUAUCCUGGUUUGCCUGGAACUUUACUGGUGUUUGCAUGAGAAAUCCCAGUCCCCGGCAAUCCAGGAGAGUUGGUCCUUUUACCACCUC
rnacentral:pre_miRNA from 14 species